rnacentral:misc_RNA from 1 species
GGCAGCCUGAAAGAGAAAAUUGCUGGAGAAAUCCAACUUCCUGCAAACAAGCAGAAAUUAAGUGGAAAAGCUGGUUUCCUAAAGGAUAAUAUGUCACUUGCCUACUACAACAUUGGAGCAGGAGAGGCACUGUCUCUUUCUUUGAGAGAGCGUGGUGGUAGAAAGAGAUGAAGGUGUUCCUUGACACAGCCAUUUAAGGUGGUCUUUUUUUCUAUUUCCCCCCCUUUUUACCCAACAUAUU